GUCCAUGCUGUAAACGAUGAAGACUGGCUGUUGGAAGCCCUAGGGUUUUUAGUAGCGAAGCUAACGCGUUAAGUCUUCCGCCUGGGGAGUACGGCCGCAAGGUUAAAACUCAAAGGAAUUGACGGGGCCCGCACAAGCGGUGGAACAUGUGGUUUAAUUCGACGCAACGCGAAGAACCUUACCUACCCUUGACAUCCUCGGAACCUUCUGGAGACAGAGGGGUGCCUUCGGGAACCGAGAGACAGGUGCUGCAUGGCUGUCGU
rnacentral:rRNA from 1 species